UGUGAGUGUGUGUGUGUGUGUGUGUGUGUGUGUGGGCGGCUGCGUGGGUGUGUGUGGCACUGACAGGGAGGCAACAUGAGAGGGACAAGCCUUUUAACAUCUGGCUAAGCACUGUCAGGAAGACACACACACACACACACACACACACACACACG
rnacentral:pre_miRNA from 14 species